UUUGACCUAACUAAUGGCGCAGAUAUUCGCGCACUUCGUCGUCUGUGAGAUCGGACCGGAUAUUCGAACCCUCGACGGCGCCAGAGGAUUCCAUGGCUUCGCCGAAAUGUACCUACCUUCUUUGCUCCACCAGUACCCUCCCGCCAACCACACUCUCUAUCCCCCGCCGACGCCGUUUCACUUUCCUCUCUCUCUCUCUCUCUCUCUCUCUCUCUCUCUCGCCGGAAUCGAGUUUUAAUUUCAGUUUGAGUUGAUCGUUGUGUUUGUUUUCCAGUGUGUGCUGCCAGUUGGCGUCUCGUUCUACUCGUCGGGAUAUGAUGCCAAUGACGCUUCCACGAAGCUAUCCCAUUGUUCUUACUGAGGGUGAUGGAUCCAAAAUCUAUGUUAGUUGCAUUGCUUUCCGGGAUCUAGUCAGUGAGGAUAUUGCCGAAGCGUAUUGUAUUCCGGCAAAUUUGUUUGCUGACAAAUCUAGUUUCGCGGUCACCUAGUCUCCGUUUGCGCUCUGUUUUUCCUCCACCGGAAGCAGCAAACCGUUAUGGGAUAUUAUUGCAUUGAUGGUGUCCAAUGUACCUCUGCCGACUCCUGGGAAGGAUAGAGUUUUGUUUGCUAUCGGCUAUGUUCUGCUUUCUGUGGAGACUCCACCGAAGGAUGGGCUCCCCCAUGUUGAUAUAUCAUUUCAGCCAUUGGUUCAGUGUUUAGAUGUUGACAACUUGAUUAAAUUUUCACAGCCGUGCUGCUUGAAAGGAUGGUUUUGAUUCGAUCACACAAAUAUUCUCUUAUGACCCUUGCAUCAGAAGCCAUUUGCUAUUUAAUAUAUCCAUUUCGGUGGCAGCAAGUCUACAUUCCAUUACUUUUUUUCAGUGGACUAGACUACAUUGAUGCCCCUACGCCAUAUAUGAUGGGUCUUCAUUCAUGUGUUGAUACAUCUCUUCUAGCAAUGGAUGGUGUAAGUACUUUCCAAGAAACUACCUUUUUGUUUAUAGAUAUUUAGGGUGAAAAAUAGAUUAAUAGCUUUUAUGUAUUCUAUAUUUUAGCUGUUCUAGUAAACAUAACGCUACUGUUGCACCUUUUAUUUUGUCUUUGAAAUGAUUAAGUCUGAGAAUAUUGUUCGAAUUCUUUACAGAAGAACAGUUUUGGUAUUUGUUCUUUCCAAUGGCUUCCUCUACUUUGAAGACAUUUUCACAGGGGGAAUUUGCUAAUCUAAGUACUCUGUAGAUCGAUGGUCUAGUUUUUCAUGAAUGUUGUUAUGCAACAAAAUGUAGCGGAAACAAACUUAUCUCUUAUGUAUACGAAAUGUUAAGGCUAGUUAAAAUAUCUUAGGUAUCCCUCUUCAUUUUAUUCUGUUUCUAUAUUAUACUUGUAUUACAGAUCAUGGUAUGGUACUU